UCAACUUGAGAGUUUGAUCCUGGCUCAGAACGAACGCUGGCGGCAGGCUUAACACAUGCAAGUCGAACGAGACCUUCGGGUCUAGUGGCGGACGGGUGAGUAACGCGUGGGAAUUUGCCUUUCGGUACGGGACAACCAAGGGAAACUUUGGCUAAUACCGUAUACGCCCUACGGGGGAAAGAUUUAUCGCCGAAAGAGAAGCCCGCGUCGGAUUAGCUAGUUGGUAGGGUAAUGGCCUACCAAGGCGACGAUCCGUAGCUGGUCUGAGAGGAUGACCAGCCACACUGGGACUGAGACACGGCCCAGACUCCUACGGGAGGCAGCAGUGGGGAAUAUUGGACAAUGGGGGAAACCCUGAUCCAGCCAUGCCGCGUGAGUGAUGAAGGCCUUAGGGUUGUAAAGCUCUUUCAGCGGGGAAGAUGAUGACGGUACCCGCAGAAGAAGCCC
rnacentral:rRNA from 1 species